UGGGGAAUUUUGGACAAUGGGCGAAAGCCUGAUCCAGCAAUGCCGCGUGUGUGAAGAAGGCCUUCGGGUUGUAAAGCACUUUUGUCCGGAAAGAAAUCCUUGGCUCUAAUACAGUCGGGGGAUGACGGUACCGGAAGAAUAAGCACCGGCUAACUACGUGCCAGCAGCCGCGGUAAUACGUAGGGUGCAAGCGUUAAUCGGAAUUACUGGGCGUAAAGCGUGCGCAGGCGGUUUCGCUAAGACCGAUGUGAAAUCCCCGGGCUCAACCUGGGAACUGCAUUGGUGACUGGCAGGCUAGAGUAUGGCAGAGGGGGGUAGAAUUCCACGUGUAGCAGUGAAAUGCGUAGAGAUGUGGAGGAAUACCGAUGGCGAAGGCAGCCCCCUGGGCCAAUACUGACGCUCAUGCACGAAAGCGUGGGGAGCAAACAGGAUUAGAUACCCUGGUAGUCCACGCCCUAAACGAUGUCAACUAGUUGUUGGGGAUUCAUUUCCUUAGUAACGUAGCUAACGCGUGAAGUUGACCGCCUGGGGAGUACGGUCGCAAGAUUAAAACUCAAAGGAAUUGACGGGGUCAUAGCUGUUUCCU
rnacentral:rRNA from 1 species